CUCGUGGAUGGGUACUGUCUAAGGGCAGACUGGUCAGAUGUUCUGUUUCUCCAUUUUAACUGACUAAUUGGCAAAUAGCCUCAUCUGAGGCUUUCUCCGCAUACAGAGAUUGUAAUGAAACUGGGGCAGGAGCACGAGUCAUUCACAGGUGCCUGAGCCUUGCCUGGCACUGAUGGAAGAAGACCCAUAGCUGUGACAGUACCCAGUACACACUUGGAUUUCAGGAAAUAAUGCUAUGGAGAUGAACAAGACACAUAUCUGCCCUCCGGGAGCUCAGAGCUUGGUGAGAUGGGAGUGUGAGCAGCUGAUGAUUCCCCAGCAAGCUCUCCGAUGGAAGGAAAUGCACACAGAGGCUGUGGAUGACCACAGCUGGGGAGUGGUGAUGUCUCAGUGAAAAGGACAGCUGAAUCACCUUUGAGUUCCACGUGCUGUCGGCCCAUCUCAAACUCAUGACACAAUUGUUGACACAUAGAUGGUAGCCAGUGCUUGUCAACUAAAGAAGAGAAUGGGAAAGGAAGAAGACAAAAGUGACCAAAGAAAAAAAACAGGGAUGCAGCCACCAGGUGGCAGGAUGGUGCUCAAACUGCAGGAUGCAGGCUUUCCCUGAAUUCCUCAGGAUUCAGGUUUCCAGUCAAUGCAAGAAGCCCUUCUUCCGUCCCUUCAGGAUCAGCCUGCUCUCUGCAGGGCGCUUCCAGGGACAAGGCCUCAUGAGGACAGCCCACUCCAUAAACAGGUGGAAUGCUGCCUUGAUCAAGUGCAGUCUCCUUCCCAGCUCUGCAAUGCAAGCGCACCCUGGACCCUGACUUCCCCAUCCUCCUUUUAUGCAGUCUCAAACUGAUGUGUCAUCGCUCCACAGUCCCUCAAGCCCCCAAGCUUCUCCCUCCUGCCUAGCUCCUUCCCUGGCCCCCAAAGAAGGCUGACAGGAGAAACUAAACUGAAAUAAAGAGGCCAUGGUAGCUCUGUUUCCUAAGAUGUUUUGUUCUUUUUCUACCCAUAAGGGAAUGAUUCAAAAUGUCCCUCCACCUGGGUCCAACCGGUUUGCCUGAAGUUAAUUCACUCACCAGCUGUUAAGGCUGCUUCUGUCCUUGGGUGAAAUUUGGCUGGCUCACCCACUCUUCGGAGCUACAACUGGGCCUGGCCUCAUUAGAAGCCAUGUGGCCUCUGUAGCUGGCACCGUGGCUGUCCCCCGAGUCAGCCGGGAUUGCAUCAGCUCCUCUGAUGGCCAGAAGCAGAUUUCACAUUUUUUCCUCUCUCGAAUGUGUGCUGUCUUCUUGCUGCGUUCUGAUUUAGCUUCCUAUCUCUGAGACACAUAUUUAGCUCUCGUCUCAUUUGCAGAGGUACUGUCAUGCUUUUGAACGAUGUGGUCUUACUUUUCCAGCUGUUCCAUGUCACCAAACCAACAUUCUUUGGGGUUACACUUGUGGGGAAUUGUCUUCCAAAAGACUAUCUUUCUAUUUCAAGUUUUGCCUAAGCAUCUCCAGCAGACAUUAUCAAUGAGGUAAUUUUUGGCAAACUUAAGAGCGUGAUCCUGCGUAACAGAUGCUUAGGAGAGCACUGACAACUCACACAAGAUGAUUACCAUUCCACUGGCUUGACCCUCCUAGGUUGAGAGCACAAGGGGGAGGGUUUUUUUGAUAGAAUUGAUGAGACUCAAAAAGAUCUGAUUUUGGUCUUUCAAUGUCAGUGGAUACCACUCAGGAUGUGUUGAACUGGGGAGGGGAGCUGGCCUGCACUAAACACAUACCACACGUCCAGCACUCCGUAAGGUAGGCUCAGCUAUUUUCAAGGUAAACCUGUAAGCAUUCUGUUAUUAUGCCUUUUAAAAGAUGUGAAACUGAAGAUCUGAGUCUAAGAAAUGUUUAGCCAAUGCUGCACAGAUCGUAGAGGUUCAAAGCAGGCUAUAAUUCAAGGUCUUUCUGUAUCCAAAGCUUGUGCUCCUCAAAAGCAGUACAAUUCCUUUCUAAAUUAACUUUGAUUUCUUUUUUCUGAUUAUAAAAGCAAAAGUUGCUAAUGUAAAAAAAAAAAUGGAAAAAUACAUAAAAAUGUAAACAGAGACCUCAAAUCACUUUUAAUUCAUUAACAUUUUGUUAUUUUUUUCUUUCCGUACUGGUUUUUCUAGAUAACUAAUUAGACAGAUGAGACAGACAGACAGACAGAUGGCCCAUAGUAUCUUUAACCAUUUCUCUAUUGUGGUUCUAGUUACAUAUGUCAAACUGACUUCUAAAAAUAAAUGAGCAGCAAUUCAUAGCAGUAUAUGAGUAUAUCUAUCUCAUAUCAGAAG
rnacentral:lncRNA from 1 species